UACGAAGGGGGCUAGCGUUGUUCGGAAUUACUGGGCGUAAAGCGCGCGCAGGCGGCUUUCCAAGUCAGUGGUGAAAGCCCGGAGCUCAACUCCGGAAAUGCCAUUGAAACUGGUUGGCUUGAGUACAGGAGAGGUGAGUGGAAUUCCGAGUGUAGAGGUGAAAUUCGUAGAUAUUCGGAAGAACACCAGUGGCGAAGGCGGCUCACUGGCCCGUUACUGACGCUCAGGCGCGAAAGCGAGGGGAGCAAACAGG
rnacentral:rRNA from 1 species